ensembl:lncRNA
AUGUAUCCGUCCACAAAAAGAGCGUUUUCUUCUUCUUGCACCCAACACUGUGUCCCUCGCCCUGUCUCAGAGCAGCGCAGAGCCACAACCCAUGAUUAUAAUUGCCUCUCAAGGGAGCGAGAGUGCCAACACCACACAAUGCCCACCGCGAGCUGCCCUCCUGCCAGUGAUUCUAGCCACACAGGGACAGGGCUCCGGUCAAAACACACCAUCAGUGGCUACAGUGGCCGUAGAGCUAACGUGUCCACUGUGUCACUUCCUGGAUGCGUGGAGGGCUAUCCCGGGCGUUUCACCGUGGAUACUGGGAAUAAUUCAGCACGGAUAUUCUCUUCAGUUCAAACGCAGACCUCCCCGCUUCAAUGGCGUGGUCCCGUCACUGACUUUGCCCAAAAACCUUCCCGUUCUGAGACAGCAAGUUCUCAGUCUGCUCGAGAAAGGAGCGAUAGAGCGCGUCCCUCCAAGAGAGCAGGAAAGCGGCUUCUACAGCCGCUACUUUGUGGUGCCAAAGAAGGAUGGUGGACUCCGUCUGAUUCUGGACCUGAGACCCAUCAACCGAACACUUCACAAGCGUGCGUUCAGAAUGACAACACUGAAACAGAUCUUGGCACAGAUAGGCCUGGGGACUGGUUUGCCUCAGUGGAUCUAAAAGACGCAUACUUCCAUAUUCAAAUAGCGAUGCGCCACAGGCGCUUCCUGAGGUUUGCUUUAGAAGGCACGGCUUAUCACUAUUCAGUGCUACCAUUCGGCCUCGCCGUCGCCCCCCGCACAUUUUCAAAGUGUGCGGACGCAGCACUUUCUCCCCUCAGAUCGAGCGGAAUGCGCAUCUUGAAUUAUGUCGACGAUUGGCUGAUUUUAGCCCACUCGAGAAAUGUGCUAAUCAGUCACGUGGAAACACUGCUUCGCCAUUUGGAUAUGCUGGGACUGCGUGUGAAUAUGCAGAAGAGCGUGUUUUUACCGAGCUGGACUAUAACAUAUAUGUUUGGACUCGAUGGCGAUGCGAGCUCAUCUCUCUCAAAAGCGCAUAGAGGCAAUUUCAUCGACUCUGCGUCGUUUCAG